CUGAUGUUGUGGCAGUUCCGGGCAGUUGUUUGCGGUGGUGGUUACUUCCAUCUUUCUCUGCCCAUUAUCCCCACAACUUCCAUCAGUCUCCUAGAAACCUGGUAGUGCUCUCAAAUUCAGUUUACGCUUGCAAGCAGUUGACGACGGUUCCCCACGCUCCCGUAAUUUUUGAAAAAUUAGGUGAAUGAAGAUGGUAGACAUGUCCCUACGAUUGAAGGAGUGAGCAGGGGUCGAUUUAAUUGGUCUAGGGCCAUACCCAUGAGUUCAAGAUGUUCUUCCAAUUGUUGUUACAAAAAUCACCCCUAAAUUCAAUGAUUGAGUUCGAUUGGUCAUGCUUAAGGUUUCAUUAGAAAUGUUUGAAACCUUGAGCAGAAGAAACCAAAAUGGUUUUCUCCAAAGCCAAGGAAAUUGUUUCCUCAAAUCCCCUUAUCAUAUCCAGGGUAACUACAAAACAAAAUGAGGUAGAGAUGAAGGCUUUCACACCGUGACUAAACUUCAAGGACUAUUUUGGCAGUUUACUCUUUUUAUUAUAAAGUUUCUUUCAGCUUACUUAGACUACGGGUUAUGGAGGGGCUUGGGUUGGGGGCAUUGCUGGCGAGUGUGGGAUCCACAAGAUAAUAUUCAAAACAAGGGGUGUGGUGUGGUCUAGCCAGCGUUGCUUGGCAACCGCCGCCCCAACCCACGGUCUUAGUUCUGACUUUGUACAGAGUGUUCGGUUACAUGUAAAAUUAUGGCUCCCAAAUGCUCAUUUGUUAUGGAAUGCCUUGCAGCAACAGCAAGUACAGAUAUAAAACCUAGUGGAGAAAUUAUGGUUUUGGAUAGAUUUUCUCAUGCGAGUUUAAUAAUUUGAUACCUUGAUUGCUACACUUUAAUUUUAAUUGUUGCUUGCUAAUAUGAUUUUUAACAGUUCCACAGUUUCAUGGAGGUUGAACAUCUUCCGGUUAUUUCACCCUCACAACAUCAAAAGGAGAGUGUUGCUUGCCUUGCUGAGAGGAUUGGGAAUCAGCUCAUGGAAACUACAAUGAUCAUGUCAAUACACAUAGCUUUAAUUGUCUAUAAGCAUGCCGUUGAAAUAUGGAAGCUUAUUGAUGAAACUUGGACAAAGGUGUUUGCUCAUCCGGAUGUUGUGUGUAUAUCAUUGUCGGUGAAGUCAUUUUUUUCUAAUAUGUGAAUUCAAAUGGCAAAUGCCUUGUGAUACUAGAGUGGAGAGAUUUCUUUUGUCUACCAUUUACUUUUGCAUGAAAAUGAUGGUGAUACUAUUCAUAUUUCAGUAGUUUACCAAUUUUAUUAUUCCUUUA